AUGCAAGUCGAACGAUGAAGCGGUGCUUGCACCGUGGAUUAGUGGCGAACGGGUGAGUAACACGUGAGCAACCUGCCCUGGACUCUGGGAUAAGCGCUGGAAACGGUGUCUAAUACUGGAUAUGAGCUCUCAUCGCAUGGUGGGGGUUGGAAAGAUUUUUUGGUCUGGGAUGGGCUCGCGGCCUAUCAGCUUGUUGGUGAGGUAAUGGCUUACCAAGGCGUCGACGGGUAGCCGGCCUGAGAGGGUGACCGGCCACACUGGGACUGAGACACGGCCCAGACUCCUACGGGAGGCAGCAGUGGGGAAUAUUGCACAAUGGGCGGAAGCCUGAUGCAGCAACGCCGCGUGAGGGAUGACGGCCUUCGGGUUGUAAACCUCUUUUAGCAGGGAAGAAGCGUGAGUGACGGUACCUGCAGAAAAAGCGCCGGCUAACUACGUGCCAGCAGCCGCGGUAAUACGUAGGGCGCAAGCGUUAUCCGGAAUUAUUGGGCGUAAAGAGCUCGUAGGCGGUUUGUCGCGUCUGCUGUGAAAUCCCGAGGCUCAACCUCGGGUCUGCAGUGGGUACGGGCAGACUAGAGUGCGGUAGGGGAGAUUGGAAUUCCUGGUGUAGCGGUGGAAUGCGCAGAUAUCAGGAGGAACACCGAUGGCGAAGGCAGAUCUCUGGGCCGUAACUGACGCUGAGGAGCGAAAGGGUGGGGAGCAAACAGGCUUAGAUACCCUGGUAGUCCACCCCGUAAACGUUGGGAACUAGUUGUGGGGACCAUUCCACGGUUUCCGUGACGCAGCUAACGCAUUAAGUUCCCCGCCUGGGGAGUACGGCCGCAAGGCUAAAACUCAAAGGAAUUGACGGGGACCCGCACAAGCGGCGGAGCAUGCGGAUUAAUUCGAUGCAACGCGAAGAACCUUACCAAGGCUUGACAUACACCAGAACACCGUAGAAAUACGGGACUCUUUGGACACUGGGUGAACAGGUGGUGCAUGGUUGUCGUCAGCUCGUGGUCGUGAGAUGUUGGGUUAAGUCCCGCAACGAGCGCAACCCUCGUUCUAUGUUGCCAGCACGUUAUGGUGGGAACUCAUGGGAUACUGCCGGGGUCAACUCGGAGGAAGGUGGGGAUGACGUCAAAUCAUCAUGCCCCUUAUGUCUUGGGCUUCACGCAUGCUACAAUGGCCGGUACAAAGGGCUGCAAUACCGUGAGGUGGAGCGAAUCCCAAAAAGCCGGUCCCAGUUCGGAUUGAGGUCUGCAACUCGACCUCAUGAAGUCGGAGUCGCUAGUAAUCGCAGAUCAGCAACGCUGCGGUGAAUACGUUCCCGGGUCUUGUACACACCGCCCGUCAAGUCAUGAAAGUCGGUAACACCUGAAGCCGGUGGCCCAACCCUUGUGGAGGGAGCCGUCGAAGGUG
rnacentral:rRNA from 2 species